CAAAUUCCAUGAUGUGUAAUCAUUUACUGUGGUGGUCCCAGUAUUGUCUGGACCCGAGAGCCCUUCUCUCCACAUGCGUCUCUCCUGCUCACUGAUGGUCAGUGGGGAGGUAAACUGAGGCAUGCAGAGGGCAUGUGCCCCUUCACAGAUGUCCUUCACGAUUACUCUCCUGUGUUACUCUUGAAAGGGGAAGGAACCAGCUCUUUUGGAUCUAAUAAAAAGUUAAGAUACUCUUUUUGUUUUGUUUUGUUUUGUUGACCAUGAAUUUUUUACUUUUUCACCUGCCUGCCAGGGAAGGAGGGGCUGUUGCUGUUUUCUGCCACCACAGUGUUCUGACUGUCACAGCAAUCUUCUCAGUGUCACUACUUCAGCACCAUGCUUUUAUGUUAUGGCUGCCCUUUGUGUUGAACUGGAGAGAUUCCCCCAAAGAAAUCAAGAGAUGAAAGAGGAAAGAAAAGCACCAGGCUGAGAUCUGGGAGAUGUAUGCAGCCUCCCUGGGGCUAGGGAGGUGGUCUGGCAACCUGGCCGAACUUUUAAAGUCUUGCUGGCCCU
rnacentral:lncRNA from 1 species